AUUCAGGCCUAACACAUGCAAGUCGAGGGGUAUAGAGAGCUUGCUUUCUAGAGACCGGCGGAUGGGUGAGUAACGCGUAUGCAACCUACCUUUUACAGGGGAAUAGCCCGGAGAAAUUCGGAUUAAUGCUCCAUGGUUUAAUUGAGCGGCAUCGUUUGGUUAAUAAAGAUUUAUCGGUAAAAGAUGGGCAUGCGUAUCAUUAGCUAGUUGGUGUGGUAACGGCAUACCAAGGCUACGAUGAUUAGGGGUCCUGAGAGGGAGAUCCCCCACACUGGUACUGAGACACGGACCAGACUCCUACGGGAGGCAGCAGUGAGGAAUAUUGGUCAAUGGAGGCAACUCUGAACCAGCCAUGCCGCGUGCAGGAUGACGGUCCUAUGGAUUGUAAACUGCUUUUGUACGGGAAGAAAUGUAAUUACGUGUAAUUAUUUGACGGUACCGUAAGAAUAAGGAUCGGCUAACUCCGUGCCAGCAGCCGCGGUAAUACGGAGGAUCCGAGCGUUAUCCGGAAUUAUUGGGUUUAAAGGGUUCGUAGGCGGUUGAGUAAGUCAGUGGUGAAAUCUUAUAGCUUAACUAUAAAAUUGCCGUUGAUACUGCUUGACUUGAAUAGUAUGGAAGUAAUUAGAAUAUGUAGUGUAGCGGUGAAAUGCUUAGAUAUUACAUGGAAUACCAAUUGCGAAGGCAGAUUACUACGUACUUAUUGACGCUGAUGAACGAAAGCGUGGGUAGCGAACAGGAUUAGAUACCCUGGUAGUCCACGCCGUAAACGAUGGAUACUAGCUGUUCGGUUUUCGGACUGAGUGGCUAAGCGAAAGUGAUAAGUAUCCCACCUGGGGAGUACGUUCGCAAGAAUGAAACUCAAAGGAAUUGACGGGGGCCCGCACAAGCGGUGGAGCAUGUGGUUUAAUUCGAUGAUACGCGAGGAACCUUACCAAGGCUUAAAUGUAGAUUGACAGGUUUAGAGAUAGACUUUUCUUCGGACAAUUUACAAGGUGCUGCAUGGUUGUCGUCAGCUCGUGCCGUGAGGUGUCAGGUUAAGUCCUAUAACGAGCGCAACCCCUAUUGUUAGUUGCCAGCGAGUAAUGUCGGGAACUCUAACAAGACUGCCGGUGCAAACCGUGAGGAAGGUGGGGAUGACGUCAAAUCAUCACGGCCCUUACGUCUUGGGCUACACACGUGCUACAAUGGCCAGUACAGAAAGCAGCUACCAGGCAACUGGAUGCGAAUCUCAAAAACUGGUCUCAGUUCGGAUUGGAGUCUGCAACUCGACUCCAUGAAGCUGGAAUCGCUAGUAAUCGGAUAUCAGCCAUGAUCCGGUGAAUACGUUCCCGGGCCUUGUACACUCCGCCCAAUCGUCGA
rnacentral:rRNA from 1 species